UACGCUCAUAUACAAUAGCUCUUUACAACUAUAUUUGUUAUGACCUUUACUAUAGUUAAUUUUUACAAAGGAUAUGAUGAUAUGAUAUGUCACACCAAGUUUUUUUAAAUCAGAAAUAUGUAGAACAUCUAAAAGACCAGAACUACACCUCUGAAAGGUUUUCCAUCAGCAUCUAUAUCAAUCAGAUUUUCAUCUUCUCUACAUUCGUGCUGUUUGGACACAAGUCUUUGAACUUUGAUGUGAAGUUCAAUUCUUUUUGGAGGUGUUAUGGGUAUGUGGGGACAAAGAUAUAGCCAGACACAUCUAUCAGAUCUCCCUGCAUAUGCUGAUGAAUUCAGACAGAGAUGGGCAGAGACUGAGUUUGAGACUGAGUUUGCAGCCCACAGAGGUCAAUGAAAAAAUAAGGGAUUUUAAAUUACUUGCAACUUGCAUUGUCAUAAUCACUCAUGGUAAGGAAUUAUAUGAGAAUAAAUUAA